UGCAGUCGAGCGCGAAUAGGGGCAACCCUUAGUAGAGCGGCGCACGGGUGCGUAACACGUGGAUAAUCUGCCUGGAUGCUCGGGAUAACCAGUCGAAAGAUUGGCUAAUACCGGAUAAGCCCACGGUUUCUUCGGAGACUGAGGGAAAAGGUGGCCUCUGUAUACAAGCUAUCACAACCAGAUGAGUCCGCGGCCCAUCAGCUAGUUGGCGGGGUAAUGGCCCACCAAGGCGACGACGGGUAGCUGGUCUGAGAGGACGAUCAGCCACACUGGAACUGAGACACGGUCCAGACUCCUACGGGAGGCAGCAGUGGGGAAUUUUGCGCAAUGGGCGAAAGCCUGACGCAGCAACGCCGCGUGUGUGAUGAAGGUCUUCGGAUUGUAAAGCACUUUCGACCGGGACGAAAACCCGUAGCCCAAUACGCUACGGCUUGACGGUACCGGGAGAAGAAGCACCGGCUAACUCUGUGCCAGCAGCCGCGGUAAUACAGAGGGUGCAAGCGUUGUUCGGAAUUAUUGGGCGUAAAGCGCGUGUAGGCGGCGUGACAAGUCGGGUGUGAAAGCCCUCAGCUCAACUGAGGAAGUGCGCCCGAAACUGUCGUGCUUGAGUGC
rnacentral:rRNA from 1 species